UUUGUGAUUAGUGUUUUUUGCAAGCUCAUUUCUAUGGGAAUGAAUUGGUAUUGAAGAACAGAACAAAAGGUAGGUUGCACAUCAAUUAAAACCAGCUAGCAACAACAGCUCAACAUGCUCUGAAAGUCAUUAGCCCAGCAGAGAAUUUGCAUCUGAAAGACAAAUAUCUUGACCUGAUCAAGCACUCACCAAGAGCGAACUCCCCAGGGAAGGAAUGUCAUGGCAGGAAAGAGCAGAUAGCAGAAAAACUGACAGCCAAGAACUUACAUGCAUGUUAUUAAAAGACUUCGGUACUUUGGAGCUUCCUGCUCCUUCUUGAAACAUAACAAACAUAUCACUGUGGUCUAGAAUUAUAUGUAAGUCGAACAGAUAUUUGCAGUAAUUGAAAAAGGUGACUUUUUUCAGCCUGAGCUAUUUUCACACACAGUCAGAUGAAUUACCUGAAUCCAUGAACAUGUAUCUCGCCAUGAGUCAUCUUUUAGCAUUAGAUCAAAUGGGAAGGACAUUGGAAAGAAAAGAAAGCAUAUUACAUGGUACAAAAAAAAGCAAGAAAUAAACAUUGCCCUGUCUCAUAAAGGAGCCAAAUACUUAAAUGUAAAAAUGAAUGUUCUAACAAAUUGUAAUGAAAUAAAUUCAUAUGUUUCUCUAUUAGAAAAAAA